rnacentral:rRNA from 1 species
UACGGAGGGUGCGAGCGUUGUUCGGAAUCACUGGGCGUAAAGGGCGUGUAGGCGGUCCGCUAAGUCUGAUGUGAAAGCCCGGGGCUCACCCCCGGAAGUGCAUUGGAAACUGGCGGACUCGAGUCCCGGAGAGGAGAGUGGAAUUCCUGGUGUAGCGGUGAAAUGCGUAGAUAUCAGGAGGAACACCGGUGGCGAAGGCGGCUCUCUGGGCCGAUACUGACGCUGAGGAGCGAAAGCGUGGGGAGCGAACAGG